rnacentral:sRNA from 1 species
UCUCUUCUUGUCGGUUCUCUCCUCUUC